rnacentral:tRNA from 1 species
GGCUCCCUAGUCUAAUGGUUAGGACACAGGCCUUUCACGUCUGGGAUGCUGGGUUCAAUUCCCGCGGGAGUCA